rnacentral:rRNA from 1 species
GAGUUUGAUCCUGGCUCAGGACGAACGCUGGCUGCGUGCUUAACACAUGCAAGUCGAACGCUGAAGCCGACAGCUUGCUGUUGGUGGAUGAGUGGCGAACGGGUGAGUAACACGUGAGUAACCUGCCCCUGAUUUCGGGAUAAGCCUGGGAAACUGGGUCUAAUACCGGAUACGACCAACCCUCGCAUGAGGGUUGGUGGAAAGUUUUUCGAUCGGGGAUGGGCUCGCGGCCUAUCAGCUUGUUGGUGGGGUAAUGGCCCACCAAGGCGACGACGGGUAGCCGGCCUGAGAGGGCGACCGGCCACACUGGGACUGAGACACGGCCCAGACUCCUACGGGAGGCAGCAGUGGGGAAUAUUGCACAAUGGGGGAAACCCUGAUGCAGCGACGCAGCGUGCGGGAUGACGGCCUUCGGGUUGUAAACCGCUUUCAGCAGGGAAGAAGCGAAAGUGACGGUACCUGCAGAAGAAGUACCGGCUAACUACGUA